rnacentral:lncRNA from 7 species
UGCACCUCUCCAGUAUUUCAAUGUGAGUGUAAAAUAUUUGCCCAGUCACAAAGAUUGUUUAUUAGUUGGCCCUCUGCUGUGUGUGGUUGGCUUAGGAAGACCUUUUAUGAGCUUCAGCCAGACAGACUGCAUCAGGAGAAGAAAAUACAUGUCGGGAGUGUGAAGGGAUAUAGCUGCAGAUUAUAGUGCCUGGAGGAUUUGUGAGUGCAUUUCUUUCUGGAAAAAAAAAAAAAAAAAAAGGAAAAGACAACAGAGGGAGUGUGUGUCCCAGGGCGAUGUGGCUGUGGCAUGAAGAAAGGUAGUGGGGGUGAAGAAGCUGAAAGUGAAACUGUCUGAAAAUGAGAGUGAAGAAAACUGGCCUGCUUCUAUAAUUUCAACAGAAAGCACCCCAGGUAAACAAAAUGGCACACUUGUGCAAUCAGCAAUGAAGAAUUCUCCCUACUUAAAUGGCUGAAGUGAGACAAGUGGAGAGAGAAAGUACGGCUUUCUGUGAGAGCUGGGGAAAAAAUCACAACGUAAUUCCCCACGGCCUCCAGUUGCCUCAUGACCACGCUCCUAUCCUGCCCUGACCCUGUGCUGACGGACUCCUGAGAGCCUGCAGGGGCAGAGUGCUGCAUCACCCCAUUGCCACCUCUUUCCAAUGGGCAUCUGUCCACAUCAGUGGCUGCAGGAGAACCAUCAGCAAUCCUGGAGCAGCUCUUUGAGUUCCCCAGGCUGUGCUGCCAGGGAGUUUCAGCUUCUGGGAAAGGCCUCAGCAAGGAAAAGCUUUCAGCAUUCUCAAAGUCAUCUAAUUGUUCAGGACAUACUGAGUAUCUGCACUUACAGAAAUCAUGUUCAGGUGGAGCUCCCUUGAAGGCAAGGCACCGGGAAGCCAAGAUGAGUUUUCAGAAACCGGUGGUGCCUUCCUACUGAUAGGACCGAAUCCCAGCACGGAGCCAUCGCCACAGGCAGGAGGAUGACAAACAGGAGGCACAACAGGUUGCACCAAAAAGAAGCAGCUUUUCAGUUCAGAGGAAAUAGCUGGUUAGUGCACACGGACAACUUCUCACUUCAGCUGUAUGGGCUUUCCAGCACCUCAAGAGAUCCCACAGUUUUUGUUUUGAUAAACAAGAUGCCAUCCACCAUCUGCCAUCUCCCAUUGCCUCUGUCAGGAAGAACAGUUUGGAGAAUUCUUCCAACUGGAAGAGUCUCAGCUGUCUCUGCGCUUCAACACUAUCCUUUCACAUAAUCUUCAAAGAUCUGUCCACAAGCUCUGAAAUGUUAGCAUGGAAAAGC